rnacentral:pre_miRNA from 7 species
AGCCUGUGUGAACUCUUGCCAAAAUCAGAGAAGGGAUUCUGAUGUUGGUCACACUCCAAGAGUUUUAAAAUGAGUGGCGAACACAGAAUCCAUACUCUGCUUAUGGCCUAAGUCAAUGGAUCCUGA